rnacentral:misc_RNA from 1 species
GUAUAAAUAAUAGUGAUUUUAGUUUUUGCUGUAGAUCUAAACUGAUUGGAGAGCGUUUAGUAGUGAUCUACCUUGUGUUUACUGGUUUGGUUUCUUUUUAGGUGUUGCACGCGAGGAAAGGGNNNNCAAUGAGAAUGCUUUUGCUGUUUGGUACCAAGACCGACGGGUUCAGAAAUUUUAGUGGGUGUGCUCUGCCUCGUCGCCGGUCGUUGUCCCUUGCUUCAGAUCUUACUUCAACAAUGGUUGUGUUUUCUGAUGCUCUUGGGGUCCCUCUUAGCAGCUUAACCUCUUGGAGAAGUUUUAUAUAAGGAAUC